UCCUCCUCGUUUUGCUGAGGAAGAUUGGCCUUGAGCUAACAUCCAUGCCCAUCUUCCUCUACUUUAUAUGUGGGAUGCCUGCCACAGCAUGGCUUGAUGAGCAGUGCGCAGGUCCGCACCUGGGAUCCAAACCAGCGAACCCCAGGCUGCUGAAGCAGAGAACACGAACUUAACCACUACACCACCAGCUGGCCUCUGGAAAAACAUUCAAAGCAGAGGGAACACAAGCAACGAAGACCUGUGCAAAAAAUGCGUGGCAUCUUUGGGAAUUGCUCUAAGCGAAAGACAUGAGGCCUAAGACUGAAAUGAGGUUGUUUUGAGGCCAUCUGAUUUCUGACUAGAAGGUGUGCGAUCGCCUCGUCCUGAAACCACUUCAAACAGAAUGGUUUGCAAUUUUUUUUGGUGAUGGCAUGUUCAGAAUCUUGGAUCCCUAAGUUGAAUAUAUUGGAAAUAUUUAGGAACCUUGGAAAUUGUUUUUGUAUGCAUAAUGACUUACUAGGUGGAUCAGUAGGCUUAAUCAAAAGUAUAUAAAAGAGUUCUCUCUCGCCUCUGAAAGGAGCGUCAAAUCUCGAAGGACGCUUACUGCUUUACACAUUGAACUGAAGCUCCUGUCCCGAGCUUUGUCAUGUAAUGGAGCAGAAAUCCUCUGCACAGGGCCCUCAGCGUCCAGGUGCUGAGAACAGAGCCCGAGACGUUGAGGGGUGGCACUGCCCUCCUCGUAAGACCUGCGCCUGCUGGUUUAGGGGUGUUUGUUUCAUAGUCAAGUUGAAUGUUAAUGUUUUCUUUUUAAAAAUGAGCAUAUUUCUUCUAUAUUUUUUAUUAUUAUAAAUGUUUUUUUUUUACCUAACUGUGACUUUUUCUCAUGUCUUAAGAUAUCAAAUUCAUGGUGUAAAAUGUGUACUUUAGAUUAACAUAGUGACUGGAAAUUUAGGAUUCUGUUAUUUUUUGACUGAAAUUUGUAGCACAUUUUCGAGAAGAUUGUUCAGAUCCCCAGAUAAUUGGUUCUUUAUUCCUUUCAAGUUUCCUAAAUGUAUAAUUACUUCAGAAUUUUAUUAAUCCAUUUAUAAGUUUAGAGAAAGCUGUCUUCAGUUUAUAUUUUGACACAGAAUGGAUGUGUUUGAUUUAUCUUAUUCGGAAUAUGUUUUGACAAAAGUUUGCUUUCAAGUAGCUCUCAUCUUCGUUUUGGAAUCUCAGAUCACCUGCUUGUAAUCACUCAUUGGGACUUUUCUGCAAAAUACAGCUUCACUGAGAAGGUCGUCCUUGGAAAAUCAAGAAUUGGGACUGAGUGGAGAGAUGGAAGAGCGUCAUCAGAUUGAGCCCAGCACGUUCUGGAAACGUUAGACUGCAUUGCCUUUGUACAUGGACCAUAAUGUGACUGUCUUUUGUGAAUUGGACCUAUAGACAGAUAAAAUAACCUCGUAAAAUGUACCUUUACUGUAAGAAGAACACCACUCCAGUCUCUAGACCAUUCUGUCAGUACAGUGUGCUCCUGAUUACUCCCCUGCUGAAGGGGAGCCUGGGUCACUGAACUUGACUGAGAAGUAGACGUCGUGUGUUCUGGAUUUGAAGGUGAUUUUGUAUUUCCUUUUGGAAUGUGGUGUCUCGAUCUUUCCAACAUGAGCCUCACAAUUUCAUGCCCUGAGAGAGGAGCCCAAGUACCUCUGCGCUGACACUCGUUCUCUGUCCUUCUUUUUUCCUGUACUGUUGACUUCAGUGUGGGGAAAACAUCAAGCAUAUAGGAUUCCAGAAUUGGUCAGAAUCCUAUGAAAUCUAUCCCGCUUACCCUUCCAGGUAAUUUUAUUGCAUGUCCUUCCCGGCUCAUGUAAAUGAUGCCAAGUUUGGGGCCCUUUCUUAGGUCAGGAUAGAGUUACAGCCGCACUGUUCAGGCCUCUUCCUCCCAUUGUCACGUUUGGUCUUGCCUGCAGUGGGAGGUUUUCAGUCACUUUACUGUGAAAGAGUCCACUCGUGUCCUUUCGUUUCCAUCUGCCUUCCUGCAUGUUCUGGUGGGGAAAUAGAAUAGAUCUACACUUCGGGCUCUUAGCUGUCUAAGGGUUGCCUGUAAAAAUUCACAGCAUUGUAUUUACAACACAGCUUUUUAGCUGUGGUGUUGACAGUAGUCCCCAGUGGACAUCUGCUCUGUGCUGGGCGCCUUACCGGGUGUGGUUGUCCACUCUUCGUCUCCCCUGCUCCAUUCUCUUGAGGCCAGGAGUGAACUUCAUCAUGCCUCAGGCAUCAGAAGAACCAGAAGUCACUUCCUGUAAGCUUGCUGGUUCCUGGGGUCCUGAGUUAACGAGGUAGUAAGAGAUCCAUGUGUUCCCACCUGGAUGCUGGUAAAAACAGAUCAUGUGCAGAGAGGCCCGUGGGGAAUGGGGCGAAACAGGUGAAGGGGAUGAAGAGUUACAAACUGACAAUUAUAAAAUAAAUAUGCCAUGGAGAUGUAAUAUACAGCAUAGGGAGUAUAGUCAAUAAUAUUAUAGCCACUUUAUAGGGGGACAGACGGUAACUAGACUUAUUGUGGUGAUCAUUUCAUCAUAUAAAUAUCGAAUCACUAUGUU
ensembl:lncRNA